AGAUGCAUGUCCAGGCAAGUCACCGCCCGGAGGACCAGGGAUGCGCACAUAAGAAGCUCAAAAUUUAAAUUAUAAGCGAUAAAUCCGGAGCCCAGUGGAUCACGACAAGGAGGACCAGGAGUACGCAGAUAAUCGAAUCGAUAUUCGGAGGCUUACGUGAGAAGGUCGAUAUAAUGUGCAAAUGAUAUACUGGGAAUGUUAUAUAAACAACUUAACUAGUAUGUUUUAUUUUA